AUUGAACGCUGGCGGCAUGCCUUACACAUGCAAGUCGAACGGCAGCACGGGAGCUUGCUCCUGGUGGCGAGUGGCGAACGGGUGAGUAAUACAUCGGAACGUACCCAGGAGUGGGGGAUAACGUAGCGAAAGUUACGCUAAUACCGCAUAUUCUGUGAGCAGGAAAGCGGGGGAUCGAAAGACCUCGCGCUCUUGCAGCGGCCGAUGUCGGAUUAGCUAGUGGGUGGGGUAAAAGCUCACCAAGGCGACGAUCCGUAGCAGGUCUGAGAGGAUGAUCUGCCACACUGGGACUGAGACACGGCCCAGACUCCUACGGGAGGCAGCAGUGGGGAAUUUUGGACAAUGGGGGCAACCCUGAUCCAGCCAUGCCGCGUGAGUGAAGAAGGCCUUCGGGUUGUGAAGCUCUUUCGGCGGGGAAGAAAUGGCAACGGCUAAUAUCCGUUGUUGAUGACGGUACCCGCAUAAGAAGCACCGGCAAACUACGUGCCAGCAGCCGCAGUAAGAC
rnacentral:rRNA from 1 species